CGACCUGUAUCCAGUCAGGAGUUUGCACAGGUGCUGCAUGGCUGUCGUCAGCUCGUGCCGUGAGGUGUUUAGGGUUCAAGUCCUGCAACGAGCGCAACCCUCGUCGCUAGUUGUUUUCUCUAGCGAUACUGCCCGUAUAACGUGGAGGAAGGUGGGGAUGACGUCAAGUCAGCAUGGCCCUUACAUCCUGGGCUACACACACGCUACAAUGGGUGAUACAACAGGUUGCGAUAGAGUAAUCUGGAGCCAAUCCCUAAAAUCAUCCUCAGUACGGAUUGCAGGCUGCAACUGCCUGCAUGAAGUUGGAGUUGCUAGUAAACGCAGGUCAGCACACUGCGUUGAAUACGUUCUCGGGCCUU
rnacentral:rRNA from 1 species